rnacentral:rRNA from 1 species
AACGCGAAGAACCUUACCAGGGCUUGACAUCCUCUGUAAACUGCAGAAAUGCAGUCCCCAUAGCAAUAUGGCAGGGUGACAGGUGCUGCAUGGCUGUCGUCAGCUCGUGUCGUGAGAUGUUGGGUUAAGUCCCGCAACGAGCGCAACCCUCGUCGAGUGUUGCCAUCAUUCAGUUGGGCACUCACUCGAGACCGCCGUUGAUAAGACGGAGGAAGGUGGGGAUGACGUCAAGUCCGCAUGGCCCUUACGUCCUGGGCUACACACGUGCUACAAUGGCCGGUACAACGAGCAGCAAGACCGCGAGGUCAAGCGAAUCUCUUAAAGCCGGUCUCAGUUCGGAUCGAAGGCUGCAACUCGCCUUCGUGAAGUCGGAAUCGCUAGUAACUGCAGAUCAGCUACGCUGCGGUGAAUACGUUCCCGGGCCUUGUACACACCGUGUCGA